rnacentral:rRNA from 10 species
GUUUACAUUUAUACCACCCUGAACACACCUGACCUUGUCUGACCUAGAAAGCUAAGCAGGGUUGGGCCUUGUUAAUC